UACGGGGGGGCAAGCGUUGUUCGGAAUUACUGGGCGUAAAGGGCUCGUAGGCGGCCAACUAAGUCAUACGUGAAAUCCCUCGGCUUAACCGGGGAACUGCGUCUGAUACUGGAUGGCUUGAGUUCGGGAGAGGGAUGCGGAAUUCCAGGUGUAGCGGUGAAAUGCGUAGAUAUCUGGAGGAACACCGGUGGCGAAGGCGGCAUCCUGGACCGAUACUGACGCUGAUGAGCGAAAGCCAGGGAGCAA
rnacentral:rRNA from 1 species